CGUUAUCUAGCUAACUAGUUAACUACCAUCGAACUACAUUUGUUUAUCUAAACCAAAAUCUAGCUAGGUAGCUUUUAUAAUGCGCUGGCUAGACAUUCCAAAGCAUAAUGAUGUAACUAGCCAGCUGCUAUCUGGCGAUGUUAUUUGAAACUUUGCAAGCUAACAUUAGCUUCGUUAGGUUACGUUAGCUGGCUAGCUAGCUAACUACCGCAGAGGCUAACGUGACUAGCAUUAUGGGUUUUAUUUAGAGUCCGAUCUCAUCAACAUCUGCAGCGGCAUCGACAUCAAGCUCAGUGGGGUUGGGAUAUGCAAACAAGACAAAAAUAAGCCCCCCCUACUAUUAUUAUUAUUGACAUUACGGGGGCGGGGGGGCUGUGGACCCGUUGGAUUAAAGCUUUCAGUCUGGAAUAAGCUCAAAUUCAACAUCAUCUGACUUUGAAACAAGCCAGGACAGCCAAAGGGGACUUGGAGUACAUACAAAGCUUCUGCAAGAGUUCGAAGCAGUGGGUGGUGAAGAACAUUGCCACCGCGCCAAAGCCUGCUAAACCAAAUGUCAUUACCCAACACAAGAAGAGGUUCACCAGCUGAAGAACAUUCAGGACCCUGACUGGAACAUUCAGGCAACACAACGUACAUAUUCAGUGAGACUGAUGUUGUAGUAUAAUAUAGAAUGCCCAGUAUGCUCACAACUGCAUUGUGGUAUAGAUAUUUCUAGCUCUUGUACAUAUGUAUAUAAUGGUGUUAUAUAAUAUUUUUGAAUGUAUUAGAUUCAGUGAGUAAACAAUUCCAGGUGCAUCAGAAACCAAUAAAGUGUUGACUUCAA